rnacentral:rRNA from 1 species
UCAAAUUUGAAAUCUGGUACCUUUGGUGCCCGAGUUGUAAUUUGAAGAUAGUUUUCUGGUGCUGGCCCUUGUCUAUGUUCCUUGGAACAGGACGUCACAGAGGGUGAGAAUCCCGUCUGGCGGGGUGUCCAGUGCUUUGUAGAUUUCUAUCGACGAGUCGAGUUGUUUGGGAAUGCAGCUCUAAGUGGGUGGUAAAUUCCAUCUAAAGCUAAAUAUUGGCGAGAGACCGAUAGCGAACAAGUACAGUGAUGGAAAGAUGAAAAGAACUUUGAAAAGAGAGUGAAAAAGUACGUGAAAUUGUUGAAAGGGAAGGGUAUUAGAUCAGACUUGGUGUUUUGUGAUUAUCUUCCCUUCUUGGGUUGUGCACUCGCAUUUCACUGGGCCAGCAUCGGUUCGGGUGGUAAGAUAAUGACAUUGGAACGUGGCACUGCCUUCGGGUGGUGUGUUAUAGCCCUUGUUGAUGUUGCCUACCUGGACCGAGGACUGCGGCUUUUGCCUAGGAUGCUGGCGUAAUGAUCUAACACCGCCCGU